AUUUCUGCAUGUGUCACAGAGGCAUCCUUUGGUUCUAAAGGGAGCUGAGUUGGAUUCCACAAGCGUAUGGUCCUUGUAGCAUGUGAAUAGGAUUCAGUCACGGACGAGAAGGAAGGGUUCGGGGAGACUGUCACCGCCCUGUCCAGGCUAACACUCCAGCUGCCCAGGUGACAGGCUGGCCUGUGUUUGUGUUGUUGGUAACAGAUUUGCGAACUAGUGAUAUCAAUGACAGAGUCCAUUGCAAUAUUGCUUCAUCCUUUGGCUCAG
rnacentral:lncRNA from 1 species